CCUACGGGAGGCAGCAGUAGGGAAUAUUGCUCAAUGGGGGAAACCCUGAAGCAGCAACGCCGCGUGGAGGAUGAAGGUUUUCGGAUUGUAAACUCCUUUUGUUAGAGAAGAUAAUGACGGUAUCUAACGAAUAAGCACCGGCUAACUCGGUGCCAGCAGCCGCGGUAAUACGGAGGGUGCAAGCGUUACUCGGAAUCACUGGGCGUAAAGGGCGCGUAGGCGGGAUAGCAAGUCAGAUGUGAAAUCCUAUGGCUUAACCAUAGAACUGCAUUUGAAACUGUUAUUCUAGAGUAUGGGAGAGGUAGGUGGAAUUAUUGGUGUAGGGGUAAAAUCCGUAGAGAUCAAGAGGAAUACUCAUUGCGAAGGCGACCUGCUAGAACAUAACUGACGCUGAUGCGCGAAAGCGUGGGGAGCAAACAGGAUUAGAUACCCCAGUAGUC
rnacentral:rRNA from 1 species